AUAUAAGCAAAUUUGACUUUUUAGGUUCAUUCAAUUAAUGGUGCAUGUGGUCCAUAAUAUGGUCCACAUACAUCAUUAAUUGAAUGAACCUAAAAAGUCAAAUUUGCUUAUAU
rfam:Medicago truncatula strain A17 chromosome 1, whole genome shotgun sequence.